UUUCCGUAGGUGAACCUGCGGAAGGAUCAUUAAAAAUGAAGCCGGGAAACCGGUCCUUCUAACCCUUGACUAUCUUAAUUUGUUGCUUUGGUGGGCCGCGCAAGCACCGGCUUCGGCUGGAUCGUGCCCGCCAGAGGACACAACUCUGUAUCAAAUGUCGUCUGAGUACUAUAAAACAGUUAAAACUUUCAACAACGGAUCUCUUGGUUCUG
rnacentral:misc_RNA from 1 species